GCUCAUGUAGCUCAGCCGGUAGAGCACUUCCUUGGUAAGGAAGAGGUCAUCGGUUCAAGUCCGAUCAUGAGCUCCA
rnacentral:tRNA from 1 species